rnacentral:tRNA from 24 species
GGCGGUGUAGCUCAGUGGUAGAGCAAACGACUCAUAAUCGUUGUGUCGAGAGUUCAAUUCUCUCCAUCGCUACUA